AGCGCGGCGUGGGAGAGUUUGGGGCGCGGAGGCGAGGCCAAGGCCCACGGUUUGCAAGGCCGAGCUUGGACUGCGAGCGCCGCAGCCUCGGCUCCCGACAGGCGCGGGGCUGGCGAGCACGGAAACGGCCGGAAGCGCGCGCGCCGCCCUCUGGGACGCGUAGUUGGGCGCCCGCCCGCGCAGGCGCAGUCCGGGCUGGCGGCGGCCGCGGCCUUUGUGCUGCCCGCCGGCGGAACUGCCUUCAGAGGGACUGGCUGUUCACACAAGAAGUCAGAGGAGGAGGGAGUGACCGCUGGGCUCCUUACUGCCAGGGCCCUGCCUUCCACAGGGCCUGAUUUUGUGGGAUGAAGAUCCCUUUGUGGAGGAUGUCUGCACCCAACCCUCACACACCUUGAAGAAA